CAGCACUUUGCAGGUAUUAUUCCAUUGUAUUCUGACCUGUAUUGCUGCUAUGGAGUAGCCAGCUAUCAAUUUAACUGGCAGCCUUGCAUAGGUGCAAGAAUAAGAAGGUAAUAGACUGAGAUAAGAAAUUAAAUGAAGAAAUACAAUAAAAUAAAAUUUGACACAAUGGUCAAAAUAUAACCUAAACUGGAGAGAAUAAACAGAAAAAUGGACCUUGCAUAAACAUUAAAAUCUUCUCAGAAUGCAAGAGAAAAGAAGGAAAAUUCUGAUAAUUACAGAAUGGAGGAUGAGUUACAUAGAUCCAACCUGUUAUCCAAGCCCAGAAGUGUUACCAGAAAGGGGACCGGAUCCAGACCCCAAGAGAGGGUUCUUGGAUCUCAUGCAAAAAAAGAAUUCAGGGAUUGGCUGUCAACAUUUAAAUAUCAAGAUUUCGGAGCGGGGCGCGAUGGCUCACGCCUGUGAUCCCAGCACUUUGGCAGGCCGAGGUGGGCAGAUCACGAGGUCAGGAGAUCGAAACACAGUGAAACCCCGUCUCUACUAAACAUACAAAAAAAAAAAUUAAAUUAAAUAUCAAGAUUUCUGGCUUCUCUUGAAGAAUUAGGUGAUGGGCCCACAUUUCCACACUAAAACAACUGUCCAGAACUGCGUAGGAGGCCGUGUCUAUUAGGCUGGAUCAGAAAUCUUGCUCAAGCAACACCCCUGCUGCCUCCCUCAGCAUGAACCUCGGUAUGAAGACAGAGACAAUGUUAUGUGUUCAUCCCAUAGGUUCUUCCCAGGCAUUUCCCGGCCCCGUAGGGUUAGCAUUGGUUGGCAAAAACCAUGUGACAGAGAUUUGCUGAUGGCAAUGUGAUGCAGUAAAGAGAUGGUGUAAAUUCUCCAUGUAUUCUUACAUUGUGUGGUUGGAAGCUAGAAACCUCUGAGAGGACAGACUGGCAAGAAAGAACCAGCUGACAUCCCCAAGUGAUCACUAUAGGACAGCUGCCAAGAAAAGCUCGCUGACUCCUCUGAGCCCCAAAUAGAAGCAAAAAACAAAGCUUGGUUGUGUUAAGCCACUGAUAUGCAGGGGUUAUCUGCUACCAUGGUAGAGCUUGUCCUCUGCUGACUGAUGAAAUGGAUCAUAAGAAUAGUAGCAAAUAUUCAUUGAGUGCUUCCUGAUUUGAAUGCCUAGUCAUUGGGCUAAAUACUUUACAUAUAAUACCUUAGUUAGUCUUAAUAAUUAUUCUGUCUGAUAGGUACUAUUAUUUUACCCUUUUUAGAUAAGAGGUUUAGAGAUGUUAAGUCAUAUACUUGAGUUCAUAGUAAGUGAGAGAGUUAGGCAGUCUGAUGCCAAAACUUUCGCUACGCUCCUCUCUUUUUUCUAUUCUAUAUUGUCUCGCUGAGUCUGUCUUUCUCUGUAAAAAAGGCAAUGAUAACCUCAACUUUAACAGUCAGAUAUUAGUUGUGCUAAGAGAUAGUCUGGGUUAAUUUUAAAUUAUUUGGAUCAGUUUGAAGUUACGUGGAGAAAUUGGCAAUGGUUUAAUCUACUUGAACCAGUCUAUACCAGAUAAGUACAGUUAGAAUUAAUUUGAGCUGGAUUCUGCUAGUAUAGACAUUCUGGAACACCCUUGGAUUUUUGCUAAUCCUUUAACAGAGAUAUUAUUGGCAGUUAGAUAGUAAUUAUUAUGUUAAGAAAAUGUAAUUAUAUUCUUAGGUUACUGAAGAGUUUAAUCAGAAAUAAUUAAAUGUUUCAAAAAUCAUGUGGGCAUCUCUAACACUGCUAGUGUAGCAAAACCUCCUGUCCAAAACCUCCUUCCAGUCACUACCUCCUCCAUCUUUUCCAAAGAAAAGCCUUACCCUGACUUAACAUGCCAUAGUGUGGGCGAAGGAUUACCCAGGUGCUGAGGCAAGAGACUGAAGGCACAAACUGUUGCAGUAUAAUAAGGAAAAUAGUUAGAAUAAGAAUAGUUAUAAUACAAAUUAGAUAUAGAGAUAACCAUAGACAUUAUCAAUCAUUAGUAUAAAUAUUAUUACUCAUUAGCUUUUAAUAUUACUCUUUGUUGUAUUACUAAUAUAACCAAGGAAUAACCAGCGGGUAUAGGGUCAGGUGCCAACGGGACAUUGUGAGAAGUGACCUAGAAAGCAAGAGGUGAGCCCUCUGUCACACCUGCAUAAGGGCCACUUGAGGGUUCCUUGGUCAAGCAGUAAUGCCAGUGCCUGGGAAGGCACCCGUUACUUAGCAGACCGUGAAAGGGAGUCUCCCUUUCCUUGGAGGAGUCAGGGAACACUCUGCUCCACCACCUUCUUGUGGGAGGCUGGAUAUUAUCCAGGCCUGCCCGCAGUCAUCCGGAGGCCUAAACCCCUGCCUGUGGUGCUGUGCUUCAGUAGUCAUGCUCCUUGUCCACUUUCAUGUUCCUCCCGCACUCCUGGUUCCUCUUUGAAGUUCUUAGUAGAUAGUGGUAGAAGAAAUAGUGAAAGUCUUAAAAUCUUUGAUCUUUCUUAUAAAUGCAUAGAAGAAAAUGCUGACAUAUACUGCCUUCCCUCUCUGCUUCGGCUACCUAAGAGCAAAGGGCCCCCUGUCCCAUGAUCACGUGACUUGCUUGACCUUAUCAAUCACCUGGACGACUCACCUGCCUUACCCUGCCUCCUUGUCUUGUAUGCAAUAAAUAUCAGCACACCCAGCUAUUUGGGGCCACUACCGGUCUCCACGUCUUGGUGGUAGUGGUCCCCCGGGCCCAGCUGUUUUCUCUUUAUCUCUUUGUCUUGUGUCUUUAUUUCUUACAAUCUCUCGUCUCCGCACACGGGGAGAACACCCUCAAAGCCCCGUAGGGCUGGACCCUACACCAUAGAUUAGUUUUGCUUAGCUUUAAACGCUUUAUAAAUGGAAUUACACAGGAUGCAUUAUUGUGCCUGCAUUCAUUCAACACUAUGUAUGCCAGAUUUACCCAUAUUAUUGUAUGUAGCUGUAUUGUUCAUACAUUUGUAUUGCUGUAUAAUAUUCCAGUGUAUGAAUAUGCCAUAAUUUAUUUAUCCAUUACACUGUCAUUGAAUAUUGGGUUGUUUCCAGUUUGGGUUUAUUACAAAUAAUGCUGCCAUGAACCUCUUUCAUAUCUUUAAUUAUACUUGUGUAACCAUUUAUUUAAUACAUAUAGAUAGGCAGGAAGUUACUGGAUUAUACAAUACAUGCAUACUCUUCUUUAGUACAUAAUGUCAAACAUUUUCCAAAGUGGUUCUACCAAUCUACAUACCCAGCAUCAGGGUAUAAGAGCUCCAGUUGCUCCAUAAUCUUGCCAGUAUUUGGUAUAGACCAUCUUUUUAAUUUUAGCCAUUCUGAUGGGUCUGUAGUAUUAACUCAUUGUGGUUUUAAUGUGUAUUUUCCUGAACAUCUAUGAGGUUGAGCACCUUUUUAUAUAUGAUUGGUCAUUUUGCUCUCCUCUUUCAUGAAGUACCU
rnacentral:lncRNA from 1 species